rnacentral:lncRNA from 1 species
UACAGGCCUCAGCCGUCUUCUCCUCCUCCCUUUGCGGUUUCCUGCAAGCUAAAGAUCCCUGAGCUCCUGGGGCAGGUCACAUCUCCUGCUUCCUUUGACCCUGACCCGUGUUUGGGCAUCCGUGUCCGACCGUGGCCGCCUGUGGGCCCGGCGAGAGAGAAAUGGGACGUGGUUGCUCUAAGCUGCUCUGAACCUUCAAGGCCCUAUUCCUGUGAGUGGUGGAAUUCGUCUCAGCUGAUUCAGAGGCCUCCUCGUCACCUCCCUGGGGCCCACGUUCCAGUAGCCUCUCAGGACAUGACAAUGAAGAUGCCUGCUCCCCAGACAGAGUCGUUUGCCUCCUGGGAUCACCAAGAGGGGACAGCCCCAGCAUGCUGGUGCUGGUGCAGUAGCCCACAGGGCUGGACCACUCGUGUCCCUUUUCGUCACGUUUCGUCACGUUUUCGUGUGUCCCUUUUCGGUCACGUUCACGACGCGGAGAGGAGGCUCAUCGUCCGGGAUUUCUGGGAGAGCGAGAGCAGCGGUGUGCUGGUCAGCGUCCCACGACCGGCUCUCUGUAAAGCUCAGCCCGGUGUGUAGUGUGGUCCACGCCCGUUUAUGAAUAUUUCCACCUCGGACAAUUCAGGCUGCCAGGCUGCCGGCUCGGAACACAGAGCUGGGAAGGGAUGCAGGGGCGCAGCCACCACCCACCACAGGUGUGACAGCCACGAGUAAUCUCAGGGCAUAGAAGUAACAAAAUAGAGCCGAUCACUGGGAGCCGGUGGGCAUUGAGUAUUUAUUACCUUUGUUUUGAAUAUAACUUAUUUAGUUGUAAGUUCAUGUAAUUUAUUUUUAG